AGGUCUGAGCUAAUCAAAAUUUCCCUUGGUGACUUUUAUAUCUCUCAGUGAUGUCAGCCAGGAACAAAGAUGGCUCACUUAUCAAAGAAGGAAGCUGCCAAGAGAAAAACAAGAACUGGUUAGAACCAACUAAGCCCAAGAUGGUGGAAGGCUUGAUUUCCAAUGGACCUUGAGGCUCAUUAUAUGCUGACUAUAAUGUAUUAGCUCACUAAGUGGCACAGCCACCUGUGCCAUGACCAUUGACAGCUGCCAUGACAACAACCUAUGCAAGAGCCUAUGCAAGAACUGAAAAGGACCAUACCUGUGUUCUCAGAGAAGUUGUGAAUAUUCCUCCCUCUCUACUGGAUUCCCUCCCUUUUACCUCCGCCCUCCUAUGUAUACAGAGCCUCAGCCAGAAUCGGUCUGAGAAGUUGAUUUGCAAACUAAGUUCCCACUUCUCCAUUCUUUGGUCAUUAAGUAAAACUUAUGCAGUUCCAGUCUCA